UACGGAGGAUCCAAGCGUUAUCCGGAAUCAUUGGGUUUAAAGGGUCCGUAGGCGGUUUAGUAAGUCAGUGGUGAAAGCCCAUCGCUCAACGGUGGAACGGCCAUUGAUACUGCUAGACUUGAAUUAUUAGGAAGUAACUAGAAUAUGUAGUGUAGCGGUGAAAUGCUUAGAGAUUACAUGGAAUACCAAUUGCGAAAGCAGGUUACUACUAAUGGAUUGACGCUGAUGGACGAAAGCGUGGGUAGCGAACAGG
rnacentral:rRNA from 1 species